ensembl:lncRNA
GUGUAUGUCUUCUUUGGAAAAAUGUUUGCUCAGUUCCUCUGUCCUUUUUUUUAUUUCGGUGAGGAAUAAUGUCCCUGGGCUAACAUCUGUGCCAAUCUUCCUCUAUUUGUAUGUGGAACACCGCCAUAGCGUGGCUUGAUGUGCAGUGUGUAGGUCCACACCCAGGGAUCUGAACUGGCAAACCCUGGGACGCCGAAGUGAAGCUUGCAAACUUAACCACCAUGCCACUGAGCUGGGCCCCCUCUCUCCAUUUUUAAAUCAGAUUCUUUUUGUUAUUGAGUCUUAUGAGUUCUUUAUACAUUUUGGUUAUUAACCUUUUAUCAGAUCUAUGAAUCGCAAAUAUUUUCUUUCAUCCCGUAGAUUGCCUUUUCAUUUUGUUCGCUGUUUCUUUUGCGGUGCAGAAGCUUUUGAGUAUGAUAUAGUCCUUCAACCAUGUUGCUAGUAAGAUGGCCACAUAGAUGGGGUAUGGGGUGUUUACCCGGAGGAAGAGUCUUUAGACCACAUCGCAGGCCCUCAGGGCAAGGAGAGCCAAGAGUGGUGUGAGUCAGCUUGGGCUUCAAGGCUGUGCAACCUGCGCUGUCUCCCAGGGCCCCGCACUCAGGAGGGCCCUGUACUUGGUUUAAUGCUCUACUGUCACUGCCUUGAAAUCCUUAACUUUUGAACAAGGAUCCCCACAUUUUCAUUUUCUACUGGACUCUGCAGUUUAUGGCGCUGGUCCUGGCUUAGAAGGCCGAGGUUUAAACCUGGGUGUAGACGGCCAAGGAGGGCAGGGCAGUGAGACGGGUGGAGGGCAGUCAGGCUAGCCAGGUGCGGGCAAUGAACGCAGAUGAACAGGGUUGAUAAGAUUCAGGGGUGAGGCUCGAUUGCAGAGGGACCCAGGCCAGAGAUCAGGAACAGAGGCUCCAGGCAGAUUGGCGGCAGCAGCAAAAACAUCACAGGGCUAUCUGUCACUGACACAGCACAGGAUGCUCAGAGCAUCUUCCCGUUCCAGCGGCGUGAGCUCCAUGAUGCUCCCAGGCCUCAUGAGAGACUGUCCAACUGCUUGCUUUGUCCUUGAGAGUCCUUCUCUGCGUCCGAGUUCUUUAGGGCUUUGGUUUCUAAGUGAGGCUGCCACAGCCUGGAAAUCCCUCUCUGGAUUUCAUCGACUGGGAAAACAGUGACUGAAGGACAUCAUGCAGAUCCUAAUGACAUCAUCUGUGGAAGAUCCAUGGAGCCCCCAAAGCUUCCUGGCCUGGACCAGGCCCACAGUGGGCACUCUCCCUUGUGGCUGCAUGUUGGGUAACCUGGGUAGUGCUCAUAGCUGUUGGUUCCCUGGGGUCCCACCGCAGUUCUGACUUAGUUGGUCUGGAGUGGGGCUUGGGCUUCCAGGUUUUUAAAAGCUCCCUGAGGUGGUUCUAAAAUGCAGCCAAGACUGAGAACCAUUUGUGUAGCAGCUCUGUGGAUAUAAGAGAGCUCACGCACAGGCACUGUGUGCAUGGAGAAAUCUGCUUUGUUUUUUAGGUCUAACAGCAGCUUCUCAUCAAGUUCAAGUCUUUAUCAUUAAAAUGCUUGAUUCUAAUAAACAGAAUUCUCCACUUGCUACUUCUGGUGAUGGGGCAGCCUGUUAGUUUUCAUCUUCACCUGCAUUUGACUUUGUGAGGCUGAAUCCUGACGUCUGGACCUUGACUUCCUGGGAAAGACAACUCACUCAUAGACAAAGGAGGGACAGAAAGACCUGAGGUCCCCAAAUUAUCCUGGGCUUUUCUGCACCUGCCAGCGAAGUGACCUUCUCUACUCACCUGACUGGCCCUGAGCUAACAUCCGUGUCCAUCUUCCUCUACUUUCUAUGUGGGAUGCCUGCCACAGCAUGGCUUGACAAGCGGUGCCUAGGUCUGCACCUGGGAUCCGAACCAGCUAACCCUGGGCCACCGAAGCAGAAUGUGAAAACUUAACUGCUGCACCACUGGGGCAGCCCCACAAUUAUUUUCUUUUAAAGAGGCAGAAGGUUUCUAACUGAGAACAUCCCAAUUUUGCAAUACAUAACCCAGAGGGCCGCCACUGGGAAUUGAAUCCGAGUUUCCCAUUGGACUUCCAUCCACACGCACAGUACACAUGCCCACACGUUCCCACACAAGCACCAAAACGGAUGGAGCCAAGAGUUAAUCCCUUCAACAAAUCAAGCUUCCCUCUGAACAAACUCCAGUAACCUAGAACAAACCCCCCAAACAGGCAAACAAAUUCCACAUUCACAUAUACACACAAGCAUCAAUCAAAAACAAAUGGGGCCCAGAGUCUUCUCUCUGAGUGAGGUCCCUAGUCCUUUCAACAGAAUCAGAGCCCCUUGAACAAGCUCCAGGAAUCCGGAACGAAAUCCCUGAAGCAGAGGCAAACAAAGGAAGGAAAAAUAGGACUCGGUCGGUUUUAAUGAGGGAACUUACCAAAAGGACGUUCGUUCCAAACCAGAAGCCAAAACAAAUAAACAAACAAACAAACAAAUAUAGAGCCUGUUUCCUUGCCACAAGAAAAAUGCGCCUAGGGCCAACGGUGCUGCAUCAGAUGGAAAGUGCUGGGGACAGUCUCUAGGGCAAAUCACCUAGGCAGCUGCUGGACUGCUUCCCAGGAAAUGCCAGUCGGCUUGGGGCUGCAGAGCCACGGGCAAGAGCCUCCUGGCUGGCUCGCCAAAUUGUUAUUGAACCCAAACACAAGAUCGUUUACCUGCUGCCUAGUAGGGCCAUUAAAGAGAAGACUGAAACACCAGGCUUGUGACAAGGAAAGAGAUUUACUAUUAUUGAAAGUCAGCCAGAUGAAGAGAUGGGAGUUAGAACUCAGAUCCACCUCCUUGAAGGGAAAAAGGUAGCAGUUUUUAUCUAGGGUUUUAGGCAGAGGAGGGGGAGCAUAUGGCCUUGCUGGUUGGCACCUUCCCACCACCUGUGUUCAGCCCUGAAGACUGAAUUUCUUUUUCCUUGACUGUUUGGACUUUUCUGCUUAGUUUUCAUCUUCAGCCUGCAUUUGGCCUUGUGAGGCUGAAUCUUGACAUCUGGACCUUGACUUCCUGGGAAAGACAGCUCACUCAUAGACAAAGGAGGGACAGAAAGACCUGGUUAGUUUCAAACAACGGUUGACUAUGCUGAACGUGCACAGCUGCAGUUAACGAAGCUUUCCUCAAAGGUUUUGUUCUUCUAGACCAGGAAAGAUGUUUUUAACCUCUUUGUUUUCGGUUUCAAGAGUACUUUUUGACUUCUUUUUAUAAUUUUCCAUAUUUCCCAACUUUCCCCAAUGGGCAUGUAUUAUUUCUAUAACAAGAGAAAAUGAAUUAAAACACAGGUUUGCAUGGGGCUGGCCCUGUGGUGUAGUGGUUAAGUUCAUGCAGUCUGCUUUGGUGGCCCAGGGUUCAUAAGUUCAGAUCCCUGGUGCAGACCUACACACUGCUCAUUAGGCCAUGCUGUGGUGGCGUCCCACAUACAAAAUAGAGGAAGACUGGCCCAGAUGUUAGCUCCAGGCCACUCUUCUUCACCAAAGGACAAAAAAAAGGUUUACCACACAAACACUAUGGUCAAGAAGCCCAAGUUCUUGAUGAAUAGACCACUGAAAAAGAAGAUACUUAUUAUAUGGAAAAGACAGGAAAAAAUUACAUCAAUAUAUUUUUCAUGGUUGUUGCUGGGUUGUUAACCUCUUUAGGUUCUAGUUUGCCUCAGAAUGAGAAAAUUUAGGAACCUCAGGUCCUAUUGUGGAACUAGUUUGAUAGCAAAAGUCAUGACCCCAACCAACCCAGGGCAUAGCAAUGUCUUUGGACCCAGAGGGACACAAUGGCACAUUUCCCUGAGGAACAAGCAGCUCAGAGGUCUCCUCCUGGGCAGCCUGUUGAAGCUUCUCAGAUGUUGACUAGACUCUGCCCUUCCUCUGGGGAGCAGUGGACUUCCA